AACGAACGCUGGCGGCAGGCUUAACACAUGCCAGUCGAACGCAUCCUUCGGGGUGGGUGGCAGACGGGUGAGUAACGCGUGGGAACAUGCCCUUCAGUUCGGAAUAACCCAGGGAAACUUGGGCUAAUACCGGAUACGUGCGAGAGCAGAAAGAUUUAUCGCUGAAGGAGUGGCCCGCGUCUGAUUAGCUAGUUGGUGAGGUAAAGGCUCACCAAGGCGACGAUCAGUAGCUGGACUGAGAGGAUGAUCAGCCACCCGGGGACUGAGACACGGCCCAGACUCCUACGGGAGGCAGCAGUGUGUAAUAUUGGACAAUGGGCGCAAGCCUGAUCCAGCCAUGCCGCGUGAGUGAUGAAGGCCUUAGGGUUGUAAAGCUCUUUCGGCGGGGACGAUAAUGACGGUACCCGCAGAAGAAGCCCCGGCUAACUUCGUGCCAGCCGCCGCGGUAA
rnacentral:rRNA from 1 species